rnacentral:rRNA from 1 species
GACGAACGCUGGCGGCGUGCCUAAUACAUGCAAGUUGAGCGAUGAAGAUUGGUGCUUGCACCAAUUUGAAGAGCAGCGAACGGGUGAGUAACGCGUGGGGAAUCUGCCUUUGAGCGGGGGACAACAUUUGGAAACGAAUGCUAAUACCGCAUAACAACUUUAAACAUAAGUUUUAAGUUUGAAAGAUGCAAUUGCAUCACUCAAAGAUGAUCCCGCGUUGUAUUAGCUAGUUGGUGAGGUAAAGGCUCACCAAGGCGAUGAUACAUAGCCGACCUGAGAGGGUGAUCGGCCACAUUGGGACUGAGACACGGCCCAAACUCCUACGGGAGGCAGCAGUAGGGAAUCUUCGGCAAUGGACGAAAGUCUGACCGAGCAACGCCGCGUGAGUGAAGAAGGUUUUCGGAUCGUAAAACUCUGUUGGUAGAGAAGAACGUUGGUGAGAGUGGAAAGCUCAUCAAGUGACGGUAACUACCCAGAAAGGGACAGCUAACUACGU